rnacentral:rRNA from 1 species
UACGUAGGGUGCAAGCGUUGUCCGGAUUUAUUGGGCGUAAAGAGCUCGUAGGCGGCUUGUCACGUCGAUUGUGAAAGCUCGGGGCUUAACCCCGAGUCUGCAGUCGAUACGGGCUAGCUAGAGUGUGGUAGGGGAGAUCGGAAUUCCUGGUGUAGCGGUGAAAUGCGCAGAUAUCAGGAGGAACACCGGUGGCGAAGGCGGAUCUCUGGGCCAUUACUGACGCUGAGGAGCGAAAGCGUGGGGAGCGAACAGG